UGGUUAUAUGUUUCUCUCUCCUGUCUCUCACCUGUCUGCCUGGGCGGAGCUCAGCUGGGCUCCGCCCUUGGCCCACGCACCUGCCGUGAAUCUACCUGAUGACCUGGACUCCUGGGCUAUUUAAGCUGAGGCUCAGAAGGCUUCUUCGCUGGGUGGUGGACUUACUCUCGUUCUCGCACUCGUCCGUGACCCCGAUCUGUUUCCCUGGUGGCGUGGAGUGGAGUGGAGUGAGUGUGCUGAAAACAAAUAUGAGAGGAGCGAGUGAGCGGAGCGAGUGUUGGACUUUGUCCUUUUCCCCUGGACCAUUGCACAUCCUGCCCUGUACACGUGGGGUUUGUAAAUAAAUGUACGACUGCUGUUCUAGUUCAGCUGCUCUGCGCCUGCUGACAGCUGCAGUUAUUAUAUGACAUUUUAUUAUUGUAUUAUCCAUCCAUUCACCUCUACUGUUCUUGCAUUACAUCACAUAGUCAGCAUAAAUAUGUUUUUAAUGGAUGAUGAAAGUGGGAUGAAUUUAAUGAGCCCUUGUUGAGAGAGGUGGGACAGAGAGAGACAGAAGUCCCCCCCUCACCUCUUAUUGGCUCUGAGAGAAAUAAAAAGGUUUUAACAUUUAGGCUGUUGUGUUUACAAUGAUAUGAAGUGCUGUUAGUAAAUCAUCUUCAUUCUGAAUCAGAAGUUUAA